GGUGACGAUAGGCAGCUGCUCCAGUCUUUUGGUCUCACGCUGCGUUUCAGGGUUGGCUGUCGUAUCUGUGCAUACAUACGUUCCCGUGCAAAACGUGUAUAAACAGGCGUGUGUGUGUACGGUAGAUACAUAUUUUUUUGAUAUGAUUUGAUUUAUGUAUAAUAGCGCAUAUAAAGCUUUUCAAGGUGGCUGCAAUGUAAAAAGUAAUGACUUUAUUACCUCUGAAAGGUUCUGUGGUUCACAUUUAACAGUCCUCUGAAUUACAAUUCAUUACAGUUGUGCGCUCUCUAAAGCCAACAUACAUCAGAACACCUAUCUGUGGUUAUUUCCAGUAAAUAACAGGCAACAUUUUAUUGAUUUUCUUUAAAAAAUCAUAGCAAAUUAAGCACUUAGUUACAAGUAAAUCUGUUUUAUUAUUGCACUAUAUUUGAGAUUCCAGAGGUGACCUCCUAGACCGCAUCUUAAAACAUACAUUCAAAAGCUAAUUUCACAGAUGCUUUCGUGAAUGGCAGCGAGAAUGUUUCUACCAUUAGUAUGCCCUUAAUUCCAGCAUCAUAAAAAGCCUCGAAUUAAAUGGAAACUCGCUCCCUUAAAACAGUAUUUCAUCCUGUCUGGAUAAUUAUUAAUAUUGGCAUUUGAUCACAAUAGUGCCGUGCUCCCCCUGCGCCCCCCCUCAGCACUUUGCAUUGUCAUGUGAUUGGAGGGAGAUAACAAACCUCAAGAAAGAAAAGGAGUCAGAAGACAUUUUUAACAUGCUCUAACCACAGAUUAAUAAUCGAGUCCCACAGGAUGCUCCGCAAUCUUGCUGCAACAGUUUGAGCUGCUGUCAUCUUAGCCACUCUUUCGCCAGAGACUCCCGGCCCCAGAGCAACGGCAGCGUGAGGAAAUGUGGCCCCACAUCUCAGCUGCAUCUGGGCAAACUCUGAGGUAUGUGCUGACACCAAGGCCAUGGUGGUUUUGAGGCUGCCACACAAAGGUAAGCCAACCUCCAAGAAGGGUUUCCUUCAUUAGCUGAGCAGCUGUCGCUGUUACAAAGCAAGAACUUCCUUCAGGGAAGCAGGGAUGGAUGCUGCAGUCCCUUCAGCUGUCCCACUGCCACUUGCCGCAAGUGAACCAGAGACCCUCAACCUCCAGGGAAUGACCUCGAGCCGCUUAAGGCGGAGGAGGUAGGUCCCUGUCCCGCUCUACAGUCCCAGGAGCAGAGGCAGUAACGUGCAGCAGCAAGGCAGAGUGGACAAUGCGAACAUUUAUGUCGCAAAUGUUAAUUUAAGAUGUAAAUCUGCUAAAAUUUAUCUAUCCCUCUUCUGAUGCCUCAGCUCUCUGUCUCAGAAAUAGUGUGGUCCUGCCUCCAUUCGGGCUUGCAAGAUGCUCAGAGGUCACAAUAUCAAGGGACAUAAAACUGCCUAAAAUGGAGAAGUACGUACGGCCUUUCUCCAUCUUACGUACAGGCACAUGCUCUUCCCAUGCAGGAUUAGGACCUAAAGUCGCAAAGGAGUGCAACACAGUUAAUACUGCACACUGCUUUUCCUGCCUAUCUGCUAAUUUAGUGACAGACUUGGCAGUGGGUGAGUUCAGCAACUUCAGUGGGCAAGUGUUCCUGCUUUUAAGCUCCAACUGUCAUUCAUUCGUAGCAGGAAUCUCACUUGCCAAUUCAGUAUAGAACAUUAGGACCAAAUACAAAUUCCAAAAUUAUGCCAGUUCUCCAGAGAUGUGUUGCAUUAUAUAACGACAGAUAGUACAGGGUACUUUCCUACCCCAUGUUGACAGUCGCAAUCAGGCAGAGGCAAUGUGGGUGGAAGUGAUCAUCCCGGGCUGACUCCCCAUGAAUGAGCAAAGCACUUCCACGUUCUAGAAAUAGUAUUUGCAUUAGUAUUCCAGUAUGAGAAGCUCUGGUACGCUGGUUUCCCUCCUCUCUUUUCUUUUUUAAUAAAUGCUCAAAAUAAGCUCCAAUUCUGCAAGCGCUUAACCACCAAGCAUCGCAAACAGCAGCGAGUCCACGCAGGAUCACACACAUAUGAGCGCCAGGUGCCAGAAGGAUUUUGUUAUAGGCUGCUCUAGGCAUCUAGCCCAACAGCGCCCUGAGCCUUGACUGGACUUUCUGGAGAUGACUACAAAAUAAAUGGCACAAAGCACUCGAGACCCAGGCUUUCAAAUGGCAAAACUCUCCUUUGAAGUGUACGCUUCUGCACAAGCAACAGUUUUGCCUGUGCAUGGGCAGGCAAGCAGGGGAGACAGGAAAGGCACUAGUUAAAAACAAUGCAGGUAAAAUCUCAUUUUCAAUCAAAUACUUAAUUUCAGCCAAACUGUGGUUUUAGUUUGUACUGCUCCAGUACACAGAGAUAGCGUUAGCUAUUGGUCAUUCUGUAUCUUUUUAGUAUUUGUAUAUUUUUUUACUUUUAGAAAUAAUCAUGUAACAUAUCCCCAGCAGUUUGUAUCCUAGAUUUCAAGCCAACACACUUUAAAAUAUAUGCAUUUAAAACCUCUUAAAACUUGGACCUGUCAUGCAAAUCCAGUCAGAUUCUUAAUUAUAACAGCACCAGCAGCCGCUGUUAGAGUCCAAUAGCGGAGCCUGCGUUACCAAAGAGGCACGCAGCAGUUAACGUCUGUCAGCACUCCUGUUACAAUCCCCACCUUGAAGAGGUUAUAACUUGGGCUGUGUAAAUUUGAUUGAGCUGAAACUUGGGACUCAAAAGUGUCAGUCCAUAUAGGGAAUUAUCUUAUGAAUAAUUGGCUAACCCUUUGCUUGAUUCACAGACCUUUAUAACAUGUUUUUAAUGGGUUUUAAUGUUUUUUUCUUUUACUGACAUCUAGGGUAUGAAUUUGGUACUUCUAGCUCUUCUGAAGCUCCACACUGAACAGCAUACAUAUAGGUACAUAAGUUAAAGCUACAACACCACAGAGGAGUUCAUGGGGCAUGCAAGCCAACCUUACACACCUAUGUGUAGACACAAACAGAUGAAGAGAGCAUGAAAAACAAAUGCCAUCGAAAUCUACCUCAAAAGAGAGUUCUAAAUAUGUAAGACAGGGAACAUAAAUGCCUCAGGUACAGUCAUAAAAUGUGUCUAUUUUGUACAUCAGUUACAUUGUGAUAUAUUUGAAGGAUAACAUCUCUCUGACCAAACUGGCACCAUCAUGCCAAGAAGGGCAGGUGCUCACUGAACCAGCAAUCCAAAAUGUAUUUCUGGCACAAUAUAGUACCGCGAGUAGGUCAACUCGAUCAUCUAUACGUGCAGCGAGAAUAGCUCAGGACAAGAAAAUAUCUGGGAUAGAGCUGGUCACUUUGUUAUCUAAGUUAACAGUUUCUCAGACUCUCUUUAUCUUCAUGGGGGUUUCCCCCCCCAGAUGUGUGGAAGCGAGUCCCAUGCAUGCCUUGGCAGCAGAACAGUCAUAACGACUGCGUUUUGAAAGGGAUGAGCUAUGCGACUUUCAGCAUUAAGCGUAAGCUUAAGUAUGGCUCUGUGUUACAAGGAAUUUUACUGACAAUUGUUCUCCAUAACAUUUUUCACUAGCUGUAAACCUCUGUUUCUCAGAGAGGAUUUUUCUCUUGAUCACUUCAGGUCACACUGAGCUGAAGCAUGCAUGGUUGGUUAAGGUGCGGACUUGGAAUUUUCUUUAACCCUAGCAGAAAGCUAUGGCAAGCGCAGGGUAGAAAGAGGAGCCACAGGACAUGAACAGAUUCCUCCAGUGGAGCCAGACCCUACAAAGUUUCCAUGCCCACCUCACCAAACGCUUACAAAACAGGGACAUUAUGUUGCGAUCCUGAACUCAUGAGGACCAUCUCUGCUGGUUUCAGGAAAAGUUUCGACUAAGCAUCAGGCUCCCUCGCUGCAGGUUUAUCAUGUGCAUAUCGUUCUGAAAUGAAGUGCUGUGAGAAGUCAGUCUCUCCUCUGUGUACCAGCAAGAUCCACUUGGAUCUGGAUCUCACAUCUAACUCCACUGAUCUCUCCCUCCGUUUUUGCCAUGUAGAAACUGAUGACAGCCCAGCCACAGAGAGGUUGGUCCUUUGAGUCACUGCUAAGAUCCCAAGUCAUCCACUUAUUUACUAAGAAACUAACUCCAAGCUUAUGAGCAGUAAGGACAGCUGAAUGACACAAGUGUCUGUUUUGAUUCGUUUCCUGACUUUGGCUGCUAAGUUUGGGGAGUUUCCUGGCUUGUACAAAGCAAAGAAUUAUGGCCAACUGCCACAGGGAGAUACGACCCACCAGAACAGAGGAAGCUGAACUCAAAAGUGAUGAGCAAGCUGUAUGGAUAGGAAAGGCUAAGCCAGGCUCACAGCCCUGCAGGGCCAGAUUCUUGGUGAGGUUCAAGCUAGGAACAAAUAGCAAAUCAGGCUGCCUUCAGCUCUGCAGCAGGUCCCAACACUCUGUAACUUUAAAAAUGGACAGGAGUAACCAGUGCCUGACAUGAAGGGAUGUCAACAGGAAAUCUGUUCCCUGCUUCCAGUUCACUGUGACCACAGUUGUUCCCCUGAUAUAUGGCAGGCACUGAUCCUAGGAACCACCAUUUUUUAUAUAUAUAUAUGUGUGUGUGUGUGUGUGUGCACGCGUGUGUGUGUGUAUACACACACAUAUACAUAUUUUACAUAUACAUACAUAAUACAUACAUAAUACAUAUAUAUAUAUCUCACUCCCACAAGUCAAGAGGAAUGCAUCCCAAGGUUCAAAAUAGCUGCACAUCCAACAGUGGUCGACUAUCACACUUCAUGUCCAAAAUAUCUGUUACUCAGUGAAGAAAGGUGGGAGGGCUGGGCAGACUCUGAUUCAGACCAUGCAAAAUACGUGGGGCAACUACUGAUCUUUUAACCAGCAGUUGUUUAGGAACAGGAUCUUUGUAGGAUCCUAAGGCAAAGCUCUUCACACUUCUGUGCAAGAUUAGACCCAAGGGGCUCAAGCUGUCAUCAGUCCCUCUGGGGAAGUCUGUAAUGCUCUACUCCAAAUCUGGCAGCAAUGAAAAGGAGGAAUUGCAAACACACUGUCUUAAAAAAAUAAAUCCAGCUAUACCUCAUUCACCCUUAAAAAAUGAUUUUGCAGAAUGACAAAAAUAAUUCAUUAACCUGAGGCAUCAAAGGAAAGUUUCAGCACCAAAGAAGAAGUCAUUUCCAAUGAGAUACUAGUUGUUUUGCUACACAAGAUGAGGAAAGAUUUAGUUGUACUUCUUGUAUGCCAGUGAAAGCAGUACCUCCUAGUUCCUUGCAUGCUUGGCUUGAAUGACAGGCUAGGACAGGAGUGCAAGAGAAAAGGAUUUUCUUCCUCUAGCCCUGCUUGAUAUAUACCCCUACAAGAGCAAUCUACUUGGCCUUGGGUACUGCAAAAUUCUUCAGCAUAUAUUUAUCUGUUGGCGCAUCAGCUGUACCUUCAUGCUUAAAGUAAGCACACGCUCAAGUGUCCUGUUAGAUGAGUGCCUUAACUCUGCGUGCAUCUUUUGUAAGUAACUUUUGUUGUGCUGAUUUUUAAAGCUUCAACUUUUAGUCACUUAGAAUAGCACUUAACUGAACUUUAACAAGUAAAAACAUCAUCCUCUGUAUUAAUUCUAUGCUGACUUUUAACUUUGACUUUUAGUUUUAGAGAAGAAAUGCAUGUGCUACAUGAAAUGUUUUGCAUGAGGAUCUAGAUGGAAAAGAGAGAAUUCAUUACUGAGAUGGUAGAGAUCUUUUUCUGAGUUUACAAAUAAUAACAGUUUUACUGGAGAAUUUUUUUCUUUGAUAUAUUUAUUCUGUGCAACUCCUUCUUAUGUGCAAAAUUUCAGUUUAAUUGUAAGGCUUACAAUAAUAUUUUAAUGCAACUCUCUGUAGUCGGAAUAAUGUAUUAUUAGAUAGCCCAAAGCUGCACAGAAAGAUGCAGUGCUGAGGUGUAGCAGGAGUGCUGGUGAAUAAUGUGUGAUAAGAGCACACUUCUUUGAGCAGUUUGGAUAGUUAUGCCACCAUUUGUUAUUGUCAGCACAUAUAAUUUUUAUAGUACAAUAUGAAUUCUGACUGCAGUGAAAAGAAUGCCUUCUACCACUAGUAUGAAUAAGAUUUCACUCAAUUAAAAUAACAUGCAAGGAUAUUGUAUAGUAUUAUAUAGAAAGCUGAUGUGCAUAAAGUAUGACUGCUGGGGUGGAGGCAGGGAAAUUAUUGUACUGAUGUUAUUGUGAGUUUCAGUGAGAUUCAGUGAGGACUGUUGCCCAGCAUUAAAAAAAAAAAAAAAAGGAAAUUAAAUA